UCAUCUUUUGAUAUCUUCAACAUAGAGCUAUUGCCGCUGCUUGGCUAAAAGUGCAAUUUCAAUGAUGAGUGCUAUUAAUUAACAGUCCUAUAUUUGAACUGUUUCUGCCGUUAUAUACUCUUCAACAAAAGUUCGGUGCUAGGACUCAAUAAUAGCUAAAGGAUUGUGCUAAAUUCUGAAGUACUAGUUAAGCUUGGAAGUCUAAUUUGAAUGGAUAGUCCGAUAAUGUUGUGAAGCCUUUAACUUGUGAAUCAACUCCGACUCUGUGCAAUAGAGAUUUCAAACGGGAAAAAAGAGGUUUCAAGCGAUAAUAUUGAGAAAGCAAAGUUGUAGAUUUACAACAAUCAAAAGCCAUGGAUAGGCUUGCCCAUGAAUACAUUAACACCAGUGACCAAUGCUGCUUUCAUCUUCCUCAAAUUCUCCAUCAAUGCCAAUGAACUCUUCCAAUUCUGGUUGGAUUCUGUUUAUCUCAAUGGCUGGAUUUCCAUUUGUAUUCUGUGAGUGAACAGUACCUGCAGUAGUUUUCACCUGUGUUUUCUACUCUAUUCCUCUUUAAUAAUAAAAUAACUUUGACAAGCGGGACCUACUUUUUUGGAGAAUGGAAAUUUCUUUGCAAACUAAAUAGGCCUUUAACUGUUGAACGAGGAAGAUGGAAGUGGUGGGGACAACUUUGCUUUUGUUUAAACUCUAACAAAACCUGGCUGGAAUGCCCUAGUUUUGACUGUUAUCAGGCCUUUGUUAUGCUCUGAAAUUGGAAUCGAAAAUCAUUUUUUGGCAAAA